rnacentral:rRNA from 1 species
CUGGCGGCGUGCUUAACACAUGCAAGUCGAGCGAUGAAGUUUCCUUCGGGAAACGGAUUAGCGGCGGACGGGUGAGUAACACGUGGGUAACCUGCCUCAUAGAGUGGAAUAGCCUUCCGAAAGGAAGAUUAAUACCGCAUAAUGUUGAAAGAUGGCAUCAUUAUUCAACCAAAGGAGCAAUCCGCUAUGAGAUGGACCCGCGGCGCAUUAGCUAGUUGGUGGGGUAACGGCCUACCAAGGCGACGAUGCGUAGCCGACCUGAGAGGGUGAUCGGCCACAUUGGGACUGAGACACGGCCCAGACUCCUACGGGAGGCAGCAGUGGGGAAUAUUGCACAAUGGGGGAAACCCUGAUGCAGCAACGCCGCGUGAGUGAUGAAGGUUUUCGGAUCGUAAAGCUCUGUCUUUGGGGAAGAUAAUGACGGUACCCAAGGAGGAAGCCACGGCUAACUACGUGCCAGCAGCCGCGGUAAUACGUAGGUGGCGAGCGUUAUCCGGAUCUACUGGGCGUAAAGGGAGCGUAGGCGGAUGAUUAAGUGGGAUGUGAAAUACCCGGGCUCAACUUGGGUGCUGCAUUCCAAACUGGUUAUCUAGAGUGCAGGAGAGGAGAGUGGAAUUCCUAGUGUAGCGGUGAAAUGCGUAGA